UACGUAGGGGGCAAGCGUUGUCCGGAUUUAUUGGGCGUAAAGAGCGUGUAGGCGGCUUUACAGGUCCGUUGUGAAAACUCGAGGCUCAACCUCGAGACGCCGGUGGAAACCGUAAAGCUAGAGUCCGGAAGAGGAGAGUGGAAUUCCUGGUGUAGCGGUGAAAUGCGCAGAUAUCAGGAGGAACACCCGUGGCGAAAGCGGCUCUCGUGGGACGGUACUGACGCUGAGACGCGAAAGCGUGGGGAGCAAACAGG
rnacentral:rRNA from 1 species